UACAGAGGGUGCAAGCGUUACUCGGAAUUACUGGGCGUAAAGCGUGCGUAGACGGUCAUGUAAGUCGGGUGUGAAAGCCCCGGGCUCAACCUGGGAAUUGCAUUCGAGACUGCAUGGCUAGGAUGCGGAAGAGGGAAGCGGAAUUUCCGGUGUAGCGGUGAAAUGCGUAGAUAUCAGGAGGAACACCGGUGGUGUAGACGGCUUUCUGGACCGUAACUGACGCUGAGACACGAAAGCGUGGGUAGCAAACAGG
rnacentral:rRNA from 1 species